rnacentral:rRNA from 1 species
GCUGAACUUANGCAUAUCAAUAAGCGGAGGAANAGAAANNAACAAGGAUUCCCCUAGUAACGGCGAGUGAAGCGGGAAGAGCUCAAAUUUAAAAUCUGGCGGUCUUUGGCCGUCCGAGUUGUAUUCUAGAGAAGUGUUUUCCGCGCUGGACCGUGUACAAGUCUCUUGGAACAGAGCGUCAUAGAGGGUGAGAAUCCCGUCUUUGACACGGACUACCAGUGCUUUGUGAUGCGCUCUCAAAGAGUCGAGUUGUUUGGGAAUGCAGCUCAAAAUGGGUGGUAAAUUCCAUCUAAAGCUAAAUAUUGGCGAGAGACCGAUAGCGAACAAGUACCGUGAGGGAAAGAUGAAAAGCACUUUGGAAAGAGAGUUAAACAGUACGUGAAAUUGCUGAAAGGGAAACGCUUGAAGUCAGUCGCGUUAGCUAGAACUCAGCCUUGCUUUUGCCUGGUGCAUUUUCUAGUUGACGGGCCAGCAUCAGUUUUGAUCGCAGGAUAAAGGUCAGAGGAAUGUGGCACCUUCGGGUGUGUUAUAGCCUUUGANUGUAUACUGUGGUUGGGACUGAGGAUCACAGCACGCCUUUAUGGCCGGGUUCGCCCACGUUCGUGCUUAGGAUGCUGGCGUAAUGGCUUUAAACGACCCGUCUUGAAACACGGACCAAGGAGUCUAACAUACCUGCGAGUAUUUGGGUGGUAAACCCGAGUGCGUAAUGAAAGUGAAAGUUGGGAUCCCUGUCGUGGGGAGCACCGACGCCCGGACCAGACCUUCUGUGACGGCUCCGCGGUAGAGCAUGUAUGCUGGGACCCGAAAGAUGGUGAACUAUGCCUGAAUAGGGUGAAGCCAGAGGAAACUCUGGUGGAGGCUCGUAGCGAUUCUGACGUGCAAAUCGAUCGUCAAAUUUGGGUAUAGGGGCGAAAGACUAAUCGAACCAUCUAGUAGCUGGUUCCUGCCGAAGUUUCCCUC